GACGAACCGAGCGAACGUUAUUCGGAAUCACUGGGCUUAAAGGGCGCGUAGGCGGGCUGCCAAGUCAAGGGUGAAAGCCCCCGGCUCAACCGGGGAAGUGCCUCUGAUACUGGCGGCCUCGAGGGAGGUAGGGGCGUGCGGAACUUCCGGUGGAGCGGUGAAAUGCGUAGAUAUCGGAAGGAACACCGGUGGCGAAAGCGGCGCGCUGGACCUCUUCUGACGCUGAGGCGCGAAAGCCAGGGGAGCAAACAGG
rnacentral:rRNA from 1 species